UACGGAGGGAGCUAUCGUUGUUCGGAAUUACUGGGCGUAAAGCGCACGUAGGCGGCUUUUUAAGUCAGGGGUGAAAUCCCGGGGCUCAACCCCGGAACUGCCCUUGAAACUGGGAAGCUAGAAUCUUGGAGAGGCGAGUGGAAUUCCGAGUGUAGAGGUGAAAUUCGUAGAUAUUCGGAAGAACACCAGUGGCGAAGGCGACUCGCUGGACAAGUAUUGACGCUGAGGUGCGAAAGCGUGGGGAGCAAAC
rnacentral:rRNA from 1 species